rnacentral:rRNA from 1 species
UGGGGAAUCUUGCGCAAUGGGCGAAAGCCUGACGCAGCGACGCCGCGUGAGGGAAGAAGGCCUUCGGGUUGUAAACCUCUUUCAGGAGGGACGAAGCCACUCGGGUUAACAGCCCAGAGGGUGACGGUACCUCCAGAAGAAGCCCCGGCUAACUACGUGCCAGCAGCCGCGGUAAUACGUAGGGGGCUAGCGUUGUCCGGAUUUAUUGGGCGUAAAGAGCGUGUAGGCGGCCAGGUAGGUCUGCUGUGAAAACUCGAGGCUCAACCUCGAGACGUCGGCGGAAAACAUCUGGCUAGAGUCCGGAAGAGGAGAGUGGAAUUCCUGGUGUAGCGGUGAAAUGCGCAGAUAUCAGGAAGAACACCCGUGGCGAAGGCGGCUCUCUGGGACGGUACUGACGCUGAGACGCGAAAGCGUGGGGAGCGAACAGG